AACGAACGCUGGCGGCAUGCCUAACACAUGCAAGUCGAACGAGACCUUCGGGUCUAGUGGCGCACGGGUGCGUAACGCGUGGGAACCUGCCCUUAGGUUCGGAAUAACUCCCCGAAAGGGGUGCUAAUACCGGAUAAUGUCUUCGGACCAAAGAUUUAUCGCCUUUGGAUGUGCCCGCGUUGGAUUAGCUAGUUGGUAGGGUAAAAGCCUACCAAGGCGACGAUCCAUAGCUGGUCUGAGAGGAAGAUCAGCCACACUGGGACUGAGACACGGCCCAGACUCCUACGGGAGGCAGCAGUGGGGAAUAUUGGACAAUGGGCGAAAGCAUGAUCCAGCAAUGCCGCGUGAGUGAUGAAGGCCUUAGGGUUGUAAAGCUCUUUUAACCGGGAUGAUAAUGACAGUACCGGGAGAAAAAGCUCCGGCUAACUCCGUG
rnacentral:rRNA from 1 species